AACGGCCCACCAAGGCGACAACGGGUAGUUGGUCUGAGAGGAUGGUCAGCCACACUGGAACUGAGACACGGUCCAGACACCUACGGGUGGCAGCAAGCGAGAAUCAUUCGCAAUGGGGGAAACCCUGACUAUUUUUUUUCGCGUGGAGGAUGAAGGCCUUAUGGGUGUGAACUCCCGCCCCCCCCCAAUAAGCAAGUGAAAGUACCUCUAGAGGAAGGGGCGGCUAAUUCCGUGCCAGCAGCCGCGGUAACACGGAAGCCCCCGAGCGUUGUUCGGAUUCAUUGGGCGUAAAGGGUGCGUAGGCGGCGCGGAAAGUCCGGCGUGAAAGGCAGGGGCUCAACCUCUGGACUGCGUUGGAUACUUUCGUGCUUGAGGACUGGAGGGGAGACUGGAAUUCACGGUGUAGCAGUGAAAUGCGUAGAUAUCGUGAGGAAGACCGGUGGCGAAGGCGAGUCUCUGGACAGAUCCUGACGCUGAGGCACGAAGGCUGGGGGAGCGAACAGGAUUAGAUACCCUGGUAGUCCCAGCAGUAAACGAUGUGAGCUUGAUGUGGGGGGAUUCGACCCCUUCCGUGUCGAAGCUAACGCGAUAAGCUCACCGCCUGAGGAGUACGGCCGCAAGGCUAAAACUCAAAGAAAUUGACGGGGACCCGCACAAGCGGUGGAGUAUGUGGCUUAAUUCGAUGCAACGCGAAGAACCUUACCUGGCCUUGACAUGCAUUGUGUCGUCGGUGAAAGCCGGCUAGUCCUGGAAACAGGACGCUUUGCACAGGUGCUGCAUGGCUGUCGUCAGCUCGUGUCGUGAGAUGUUGGGUUAAGUCCCGCAACGAGCGCAACCCUUGUGGUCAGUUACUAACCGGCUUAGCCGGAGGACUCUGGCCAGACUGCCCUGUCAAACGGGGAGGAAGGUGGGGACGACGUCAAGCCAGUAUGGCCCUUAUGGCCAGGGCUGCACACGUACUACAAUGCCCGGUACAAUGUGAACCGAAACCGCGAGGUGGAGGAAAUCGCUCUUGAAAACCGGGCCCAGUUCGGAUUGGAGUCUGCAACUCGACUCCAUGAAGUCGGAAUCGCUAGUAAUGGCGUAUCAGCAACGACGCCGUGAAUACGUUCCCGGGUC
rnacentral:rRNA from 1 species